GGGCGCAUAGCUCAGUUGGUUAGAGCGCAUGCUUCACAUGCAUGAGGUCGGAGGUUCGAGUCCCCCUGCGCCCACCA
rnacentral:tRNA from 2 species